rnacentral:rRNA from 1 species
UACGAAGGGGGGCUAGCGUUGUUCGGAAUUACUGGGCGUAAAGCGUGCGCAGGCGGCCUUCCAAGUCAGGGGUGAAAGCCCAGAGCUCAACUCUGGAAUUGCCUUUGAGACUGUGAGGCUUGAGUACGGGAGAGGUGAGUGGAAUUCCGAGUGUAGAGGUGAAAUUCGUAGAUAUUCGGAAGAACACCAGUGGCGAAGGCGGCUCACUGGCCCGUUACCGACGCUCAGGCGCGACAGCGUGGGGAGCAAACAGG